AACGCUGGCGGCAUGCCUAACACAGUGCAAGUCGAACGAGACCUUCGGGUCUAGUGGCGCACGGGUGCGUAACGCGUGGGAACCUGCCUUAGGUUCGGAAUAACUCAGAGAAAUUUGAGCUAAUACCGGAUAAUGUCCUUCGGACCAAAGAUUUAUCGCCUUUAGAUGGGCCCGCGUUGGAUUAGCUAGUUGGUGGGGUAAAGGCCUACCAAGGCGACGAUCCAUAGCUGGUCUGAGAGGAUGAUCAGCCACACUGGGACUGAGACACGGCCCCAGACUCCUACGGAGGCAGCAGUGGGGAAUAUUGGACAAUGGGCGAAAGCCUGAUCCAGCAAUGCCGCGUGAGUGAUGAAGGCCUUAGGGUUGUAAAGCUCUUUUACCCGAGAUGAUAAUGACAGUAUCGGGAGAAUAAGCUCCGGCUAACUCCGUG
rnacentral:rRNA from 1 species